AACACUAAGCCGGAAUAACGGAUAACAUUGAUGUCGUUAAAUAUGACUUAUAUCUAGUGUUU
rnacentral:tRNA from 2 species